UUGGUUUUGUGAUUAUCUUCAAUUUAUUUUCUAUGUGUUUAUUCUAGUCCCAUGACCCAAGUCACAAGUUUUGCAUGCCUUUUUCAAUAUGAGUUUUUUUCUAAAUUAUUUUGUUUGUGUUUGAUUUUUCAAGAUACUAUUAUAAUUCAUCUAUAAUUUUUAUUUUUUUUACACAAAUGAAAUUUAUUUUUCAAAAUAAAAA
rnacentral:lncRNA from 1 species